UAUCCUACAUUAGACAGGAAUCCUCACACCGGCUCGCCCUGUUGACGGAGGAGUCGCCUCCCCACUGUCAACAGGGGCACGAGGGACUUCUCCACGGGGUGCUCCACCUGCUCACAACGCCGAUUGCUGUAGCGCAUGGGUCUCCAGCCCGCUUGGACCUCAGGCAGAAGCGGCCUCCUGGGGGGGUGAGGUGGCCCCGUUCAUCCCCACUGGUCCAGAGGACAUGACCCGCCCGGCCGCAAAGGUGGAGAAGGCCACAGGUCUGGUUCGGAGACGUGUUAUAUAGGUGGGGGGGGGAUUAGUUCAAAGUGAGACGUUAGGUUCCAGAGAGGGCUAGCCUACGCCCGGGUCUCACUACAGGUGGCGGUAUUGUCGCAGACCAAAGUCUGCAGACUUGUUUUGUCCCACCUGGCCAAUAUAAAGAAGGCGGGGCAACGAAGGCGAGAAGAUUGGUCACACCUGACAUGCUGCACGUCAUAGGAAAGAGGAGUGAGAGACGAAGGGACAAACAAAACAGCAGAUCCCUGGUAGCUGGACCUGUGGUGUCCUACGAGAGGAAUCCUCAAAAAGACCUGCUGGACACUGACAGAGGAAGAAUCGACCGGAGACCUUUUGGACCGCCCUGGACUACGGCUCGCCGCGUCGAUCAGGAAAGAUGAGGCCGUGCAGAAACACCUCUCCUGACUCUCUGGAUUAUCCAACUCACACUCACCACCCCACACGCACCCCCCUCCACCCCACCCAAUGUCCCUAACCCAUUUAAGCAUUUUGCUUCCAUCCAACUGGGAAAAAGGACGAGUGGUAAUUCACCAAACCUCUUCCUCUUCUGCUUUUGGUGCAUCGCUGCAUCUCCUGAAGCAUCACCUUUACAAACGGUCGAUCGGUGCAGUAGUGGAAACCACUGGCAGGAUUUAUUUCACCUGAUUGAGCAUCUAAUCAACCAGCUCAUAGUAAAGUUACUCCUGGUGGUCAGAAACUCCACUGAGUCCCUUUUUUAAAUUCUGUAUUUUGUACAAAUUCCACCUUCCUUCCUCCCCUUUGUAUUACACGUCUCCAUACUGUGUCCCAGAGCAACGGGGCCGGGC